rnacentral:misc_RNA from 1 species
GAACGCACCUUGCACCCUUUGGUAUUCCGAAGGGUAUGCUCGUUUGAGUGUCAUUGUAUUCUCACACUCCCGAUCUUUGGGUUGGGAGCGGUGGACUUGGGUUUGCUGCUUCACCGUGGCUCACCUCAAAUAUGUUAGUGCAGCUCUUGGUUGGACAUAGUACGGCGUGAUAAGUGAUUUUCGCCGGUGCCUCGCAAAGAGGGUGGCCGAUCGGGAUGUUGUGCUCCAAACCGUCUUCGGACAAUCUCUGACGACUUGACCUCAAAUCGAGUAAGACUACCCGCUGAACUUA